rnacentral:rRNA from 1 species
UACAGAGGGGGCAAGCGUUAUUCGGAAUUAUUGGGCGUAAAGGGCGCGUAGGCGGUUCUUCAAGUCUCUCGUGAAAUCCCUCGGCUUAACUGAGGACGUGCGGGAGAUACUGAAGGGCUUGAGUCCGGAAGAGGGUGGUGGAAUUCCCAGUGUAGCGGUGAAAUGCGUAGAUAUUGGGAGGAACACCGGUGGCGAAGGCGGCCACCUGGGCCGGAACUGACGCUGAGGCGCGAAAGCUAGGGGAGCAAACAGG